GCGCCACCACCGCCCAGCUUAAGGGACUUCUCAUAUUGCUUGCAUAGCAGUUACGUGCCAGGCACUGUUGAGAUUAAUUUGCCCAAUUCCCAUUACAACCCUGUGCCCUGGAGACUGUUGCCAUGUUACUGUUCUUUGUACAAACAAGAAGCCGGAGGGGUGAUUUACUUGGUGGGCUUCACAUCCUUGUCUAAGCCCUGCUCACUAAGGGGGAACUAACCCUGCUGGCCUGCCCCUUGCUUGCUUUCACUGACCUAGAAAUGAACAAUUGAACUCAGGACUUCUUCCCUCCUAAGUCUGGAUCCCACUCGUUCUUUGAAGUUCUUAAAAGUAAAUUGAUAAUUGCCUCGGUCCCUCAGCUCUUAAGUUUUUGGUAUCCAAUGAUCGGCCACAACUCCCAAGAGAUCAAAGUCGGACAGUGGGCGGUGCUGGUGAAGGGGCGUGACUUAGCUGCGGGUGCCUGUAGUUGCUGUUUGGACUGGGCAGUCCUGUGAGGAACCAUGAGCUGGACUUGUCCGCGUUGCCAGCAACCAGUUUACUUCGGUGAGGCUGGGACCGAGGAGUAAAGAUAACCCUGAGAAAGUCAGCUCCGUAGGCAAGAACUGGCACCGUUUCUGCCUGAAAUGUGAGCACUGCCACAGCAUCUUGUCCCCUGGCGGGCAUGCAGAGACCCACCAGACUGGAGUGCACUUUGCACCUGACAGCCAGUACUGAGACGGCCUGCGAGGCAUAACCCUUGGCCCUGAAUGACCCCUUCCCUCUGCCUGUGCUUGUGCCCAGCACAACGGGAGGCCAUACUGCCACAAGCCUUGCUAUGGGGCUCUCUUUGGACCUAGAGGGGUCAACAUUGGUGGUGUGGGUUGCUAUCCCUACAAUCCCCCUGCUCCCUCCCCUGCCAGCAGCGUUUCCCUCAGCCCCGGCAACUUUAGC